UACGGAGGGUGCAAGCGUUAUCCGGAUUUACUGGGGUUAAAGGGUGCGCAGGCGGAUAUGUAAGUCAGUGGUGAAAUCUCCGGGCUUAACCCGGAAACUGCCGUUGAUACUAUAUAUCUUGAAUGCCGUGGAGGUAAGCGGAAUAUGUCAUGUAGCGGUGAAAUGCUUAGAUAUGACAUAGAACACCUAUUGCGAAGGCAGCUUACUACACGGAGAUUGACGCUCAUGCACGAAAGCGUGGGGAUCAAACAGG
rnacentral:rRNA from 1 species